rnacentral:lncRNA from 1 species
CUCACACAUGGUAGGCGAGCACUCUACCUCCAAGCCACAGCCUCAACACAUAAACUUCUUUUUUAAAAGGCAAACUACAAGAUAGUACUGUAUAUUGUUAAUAUACAACAUGACCAUUUAUCUUUCUGAUUUGAGAUUGUUACAAAUAGAAUAUUUCAAACCCUUUGGAAAUCCACAUCCUUGGGAGAAGGUGGUUUUUAUUAUUUUUUUAAAUGGAAUGACACUUCUGCUUUAUUCUCAUUUAUUUCCUUUAAAGGGAAUUUAGGAGAAAUUCAGUAAACUUUAUUGGAAAAAAUUCAUAGUUUUAACCCAAUGUUUUCACUGUAUAAAUGUCCUUUUAUCUCUUUCCAAGUGAAAAGAUUUUCCUCAUGUUGUUCAAAGAUAAUUGGAUUAUAAAAUUAUAUAAAUUAUGAAUUAUAAAAACUUUAUUUUCAAUCUAGCAGCAGACCCUUUGGGGCCAUAAAGAGACUAAUUUUUGGAAUAAUAGUAUGAGUAAUAAUUUAGGGCUUCUCACACAAUAGUUGACCCUUACAUACAGAUAAGUUUUACUUUAGUCUCACUUGGGUCAGGGGAGAGAGAAGAAGAUAAAUAGGCAAUUGUGAAAUUACUUCAGAAUACUUCUUAAGAAAUUUAAAGGUGAUUAUUAGAAAAGCUGAUGGUAACUUGGGUUUAUUAGUGUUAGUGUUAUAGUGGUG